rnacentral:rRNA from 1 species
GAUGAACGCUGGCGGCGUGCCUAAUACAUGCAAGUCGAGCGAACAGACGAGGAGCUUGCUCCUCUGACGUUAGCGGCGGACGGGUGAGUAACACGUGGAUAACCUACCUAUAAGACUGGGAUAACUUCGGGAAACCGGAGCUAAUACCGGAUAAUAUAUUGAACCGCAUGGUUCAAUAGUGAAAGACGGUUUUGCUGUCACUUAUAGAUGGAUCCGCGCCGCAUUAGCUAGUUGGUAAGGUAACGGCUUACCAAGGCAACGAUGCGUAGCCGACCUGAGAGGGUGAUCGGCCACACUGGAACUGAGACACGGUCCAGACUCCUACGGGAGGUAGCAGUAGGGAAUCUGCCGCAAUGGGCGAAAGCCUGACGGAGCAACGCCGCGUGAGUGAUGAAGGUCUUCGGAUCGUAAAACUCUGUUAUUAGGGAAGAACAAAUGUGUAAGUAACUAUGCACGUCUUGACGGUACCUAAUCAGAAAGCCACGGCUAACUACGUG